CGGGCUUCGGCCUGGUGGCGAGUGGCGAACGGGUGAGUAAUACAUCGGAACAUGUCCUGUAGUGGGGGAUAGCCCGGCGAAAGCCGGAUUAAUACCGCAUACGAUCUGAGGAUGAAAGCGGGGGACCUUCGGGCCUCGCGCUAUAGGGUUGGCCGAUGGCUGAUUAGCUAGUUGGUGGGGUAAAGGCCUACCAAGGCGACGAUCAGUAGCUGGUCUGAGAGGACGACCAGCCACACUGGGACUGAGACACGGCCCAGACUCCUACGGGAGGCAGCAGUGGGGAAUUUUGGACAAUGGGCGCAAGCCUGAUCCAGCAAUGCCGCGUGUGUGAAGAAGGCCUUCGGGUUGUAAAGCACUUUUGUCCGGAAAGAAAUCAUUCUGGCUAAUACCCGGAGUGGAUGACGGUACCGGAAGAAUAAGCACCGGCUAACUACGUGCCAGCAGCCGCGGUAAUACGUAGGGUGCGAGCGUUAAUCGGAAUUACUGGGCGUAAAGCGUGCGCAGGCGGUUUGCUAAGACCGAUGUGAAAUCCCCGGGCUCAACCUGGGAACUGCAUUGGUGACUGGCAGGCUAGAGUAUGGCAGAGGGGGGUAGAAUUCCACGUGUAGCAGUGAAAUGCGUAGAGAUGUGGAGGAAUACCGAUGGCGAAGGCAGCCCCCUGGGCCAAUACUGACGCUCAUGCACGAAAGCGUGGGGAGCAAACAGGAUUAGAUCCUGUGGGUAAUCC
rnacentral:rRNA from 1 species